rnacentral:rRNA from 1 species
AGUGAACGCUGGCGGUAGGCCUAACACAUGCAAGUCGAACGGCAGCACAGUAAGAGCUUGCUCUUACGGGUGGCGAGUGGCGGACGGGUGAGUAAUACAUCGGAAUCUACUUUUUCGUGGGGGAUAACGUAGGGAAACUUACGCUAAUACCGCAUACGACCUACGGGUGAAAGCAGGGGAUCUUCGGACCUUGCGCGAUUGAAUGAGCCGAUGUCGGAUUAGCUAGUUGGCGGGGUAAAGGCCCACCAAGGCGACGAUCCGUAGCUGGUCUGAGAGGAUGCUCAGCCACACUGGAACUGAGACACGGUCCAGACUCCUACGGGAGGCAGCAGUGGGGAAUAUUGGACAAUGGGCGCAAGCCUGAUCCAGCCAUACCGCGUGGGUGAAGCAGGCCUUCGGGUUGUAAAGCACUUUUGUUGGGAAAGAAAAGCAGCAGGUUAAUACCCCGCUGUUCUGACGGUACCCAAAGAAUAAGCACCGGCUAACUUCGUG